rnacentral:rRNA from 1 species
UGCAAUAAACUGGUGGCUGCGACUGUUUAAUAAAAACACAGCACUCUGCAAACACGAAAGUGGACGUAUAGGGUGUGACGCCUGCCCGGUGCCGGAAGAUUAAAUGAUGGGGUGCAAGCUCUUGAUUGAAGUCCCGGUAAACGGCGGCCGUAACUAUAACGGUCCUAAGGUAGCGAAAUUCCUUGUCGGGUAAGUUCCGACCUGCACGAAUGGCGUAACGAUGGCCACACUGUCUCCUCCCGAGACUCAGCGAAGUUGAAGUGUUUGUGAUGAUGCAAUCUCCCCGCGGCUAGACGGAAAGACCCCAUGAACCUUUACUGUAGCUUUGCAUUGGACUUUGAACCGGUUUGUGUAGGAUAGGUGGGAGGCUGUGAAGCGGGAACGCUAGUUUCCGUGGAGCCGUCCUUGAAAUACCACCCUGAUCUGUUUGAGGUUCUAACCUUGGUCCGUAAUCCGGAUCGGGGACAGUGCAUGGUAGGCAGUUUGACUGGGGCGGUCUCCUCCCAAAGGGUAACGGAGGAGUACGAAGGUACGCUAGGUACGGUCGGAAAUCGUGCUGAUAGUGCAAUGGCAUAAGCGUGCUUGACUGUGAGACUCACAAGUCGAACAGGUGCGAAAGCAGGUCAUAGUGAUCCGGUGGUUCUGUAUGGAAGGGCCAUCGCUCAACGGAUAAAAGGUACUCUGGGGAUAACAGGCUGAUACCGCCCAAGAGUUCAUAUCGACGGCGGUGUUUGGCACCUCGAUGUCGGCUCAUCUCAUCCUGGGGCUGUAGCCGGUCCCAAGGGUAUGGCUGUUCGCCAUUUAAAGAGGUACGUGAGCUGGGUUUAAAACGUCGUGAGACAGUUUGGUCCCUAUCUGCCGUGGGCGCUGGAUAUUUGAAGGGACCUGCUCCUAGUACGAGAGGACCGGAGUGGACGAACCUCUGGUGUACCGGUUGUCACGCCAGUGGCAUCGCCGGGUAGCUAUGUUCGGAAGAGAUAACCGCUGAAAGCAUCUAAGCGGGAAACUCGCCUUGAGAUGAGAUAUCCCCGGGGCUUCGAGCCCCUUGAAGGGUCGUUCGAGACCAGGACGUUGAUAGGUCAGGUGUGGAAGCGCAGUAAUGCGUUAAGCUAACUGAUACUAAUUGCCCGUAAGGCUUGAUCCU